UGUCAGACCGUUGCUACAUUUUUGUGACCUUGCCUGAUGGGUUUUUAAGGCUCCUAGUGCUGUGAUCUGUUUUCUGAGUGAGCUUCAAGGUUUUGUUCCUGAUCUCCCAAUGUGAGUCUCCCUGCCUUCUCAGCUUCUGGCCCUGGCUUGGGUGAGGUUUUUUUGGAUAAUCUUACUUCUGUUGUCACCUGCCUGUCCACCCUCCUACGUGGGAACGCUUAAACUGAGUCAUCACUUGAAAGCUAAAGGAAAGAAAGGAAACUGCCGCCUACCACACUCAUCCUGCCAACCUCCAUCUCAGAGGAAAGACUUACCUCACCGGCUAAACCACAACCACUCUGGCUAGAAGAACCAGUCUCCUGCUGUCAUUGCCUGGGUCCCUGUCUCGCCUUGCUCCUUUUUCUUCACAAAAUCUGUUAAAACACUGUCCUGAAUCUGUGGUUGUGAUCUCCUCAGAGUUUAAAGAAACUCUACAUUAUGACAACUGCCUUAUAAAAGAUAGGUUUACCUGCAUCAAAUGAAGAGCAACACAAAUUUUAAUUUGCUUCACAACUAGACUGCCUAUCCCAAGAUAAUGCUAACAAGGACGAGAAGUUUUUUGUUUUUUUUAAAUGACCCGUAAAAGGACUUCAUGCUAGCAUCACAAAUUAAAUUGGUAAGGUAUAAAAGAUGAUAGAUUACGAAAUGUUACUUCCAUUUUAUUUCCAUUGCUUUACCCAAGCUGUUUGAAGACACAAAAAUGAGGGCUGUCUGGAAGCAGUGUCACUUUCCUACACAAACUUUGGUAACCAAACAAGAAAAAUUAAGCAAAUAAUGAUCUUGCAGCCAGACGUAACGUGAGGUGACCUGGCAUGAACUGUGCAAACUGGACAAUUGACUCCGAGCUGAGGAAACAAAGGAGUUAACCUGUUAUUUGGUGUUAGCCGUGGCCUUCACAUAAGCUUUUAAACCCAAUAAGUGACAUUGUUCUCCAAUAUACUGUGGUUGCAGCAUUUGUCUUCAAAUAAACAGAUUCUGAGUGAAGUAACCCCUUCA